CUAAUUACUUUCUAAUUACAUUGAGGGAAAGGUGACAAAACAUGUCGUCUGUCUGUGUUUGUUUGUUCUUUGUUUUGAAGCCAACCGGCUCGUACUAACACCGCCCUCCUGGGGGAUUAGGUAGCCACCCGGGUCGUACUAACACCGCCCUCCUGGGGGAUUAGGUAGCCACCCGGGUCGUACUAACACCGCCCUCCUGGGGGAUUAGGUAGCCACCCGGGUCGUACUAACACCGCCCUCCUGGGGGAUUAGGUAGCCACCCGGGUCGUACUAACACCGCCCUCCUGGGGGAUUAGGUAGCCACCCGGGUCGUACUAACACCGCCCUCCUGGGGGAUUAGGUAGCCACCCGGGUCGUACUAACACCGCCCUCCUGGGGGAUUAGGUAGCCACCCGGGUCGUACUAACACCGCCCUCCUGGGGGAUUAGGUAGCCACCCGGGUCGUACUAACACCGCCCUCCUGGGGGAUUAGGUAUUACAUCAGGUGGUUGGUGAGGGCCGUCUGAGCACCAAUGUUAUGUUUUGUUUAUAACUGUUAUACAUCAGGGGGCUGGUGAGGGCUUCUUC